rnacentral:rRNA from 1 species
CCUACGGGAGGCAGCAGUGAGGAAUAUUGGUCAAUGGUCGGGAGACUGAACCAGCCAAGCCGCGUGAGGGAUGAAGGUACAGAGUAUCGUAAACCUCUUUUGUCAGGGAACAAAGGCGGGGACGUGUCCCCGGAUGAGUGUACCUGAAGAAAAAGCAUCGGCUAACUCCGUGCCAGCAGCCGCGGUAAUACGGAGGAUGCGAGCGUUAUCCGGAUUUAUUGGGUUUAAAGGGUGUGCAGGCGGUCUGUUAAGUCAGCGGUAAAAGCCCGGGGCUCAACCCCGGCCCGCCGUUGAAACUGGCAGUCUCGAGUUGGAGAGAAGGAUGGGGAAUGCGCGGUGUAGCGGUGAAAUGCAUAGAUAUCGCGCAGAACUCCGAUUGCGAAGGCAGCAUGCCGGCUCCACACUGACGCUGAGGCACGAAAGCGUGGGUAUCGAACAGGAUUAGAUACCCCUGUAGUC